rnacentral:tRNA from 1 species
AAGACCUGUAAAACUUUUAUUUACAACCAUUGAAUGCAACUCAAACACUUUAAUUAAGCUAAGGCCUC